rnacentral:pre_miRNA from 1 species
UUGCUGCCUUUGUUGACUAACAACAUUAAUGAAAACGAUCGUGGACUACCUUUAACGCCGAUAUUACAAGUGCUAAUUGCUUUGAGAUUUUACGCAACAGGCAAUUUUCAGGUUCGUGCAUAAUGUGCUUUUGUGUCUACAUAAUAGAA